UGGUGGAGUGAUUUGUCUGGUUAAUUCCGUUAACGAACGAGACCUCAGCCUACUAUUGUAGUUUAUGUUCUUAUCGCUUUUCCUUGCUCCUUGUGGGCGGGAUCCGUGAUAGGGCAAACUUCUUAGAGGGACUGUCGGUUUUCAGCUGACGGAAGUUUGAGGCAAUAACA
rnacentral:rRNA from 1 species